GACGAACGCUGGCGGCGUGCUUAACACAUGCAAGUCGAACGGUGAAGCGCCUUCCUUUUUGGUGGGUGUGGAUGAGUGGCGAACGGGUGAGUAACACGUGAGUAACCUGCCCCCUUCUUCUGGAUAACCGCAUGAAAGUGUGGCUAAUACGGGAUAUUCUGGGUCUGUCGCAUGAUGGGUCUGGGAAAGAUAUUGUUUCGGUGGGGGAUGGGCUCGCGGCCUAUCAGCUUGUUGGUGGGGUGAUGGCCUACCAAGGCGGUGACGGGUAGCCGGCCUGAGAGGGUGGACGGUCACACUGGGACUGAGACACGGCCCAGACUCCUACGGGAGGCAGCAGUGGGGAAUAUUGCACAAUGCGCGCAAGCCUGAUGCAGCGACGCCGCGUGAGGGAUGGAGGCCUUCGGGUUGUGAACCUCUUUCGCCAGUGAAGCAGGCCUGCCUCGUUUGUGGGUGGGUUGACGGUAGCUGGAUAAGAAGCGCCGGCUAACUACGUG
rnacentral:rRNA from 1 species